CUAAGUAUUCUAGAUUUAUUUUUAUAAUAUUAAUAUUUUCUCCUAAAAAAAUUCAGAUCUAAUUUAUCUCUUCCAGUGAUGCUAUUUCAAGUGAGCAUCUGAGCACCUUCAUAAACUCCAUACUCUCCACUUGUCACAACCCUCGAAAUUUCUACGGACAUAACUUGGUGGAACUUCUGAAAAAACAAGUGGCGUCUGAGAAUUUCACGCAUCCGGCAUCUUACUUGGCCCUCUGCAACGCCAACGAAACAUGGCCGGACAAAGCAUAUGACAACCUCCUGAAAAUGUACAAAAGCGCAUCCGAGCUGCCUUUUAACAGAGAUAUUCAAGCAUUUGCGGUGAUGGCUCUUUCCUGCAAAUUUCGACAAGGUGGGUACAAUUUAAUU